rnacentral:rRNA from 1 species
GUGGGGAAUAUUGGACAAUGGGCGCAAGCCUGAUCCAGCCAUGCCGCGUGAGUGAUGAAGGCCUUAGGGUUGUAAAGCUCUUUUACCAGGGAAGAUAAUGACGGUACCUGGAGAAUAAGCCCCGGCUAACUUCGUGCCAGCAGCCGCGGUAAUACGAAGGGGGCUAGCGUUGCUCGGAAUCACUGGGCGUAAAGCGCACGUAGGUGGGUCGUUAAGUCGGGGGUGAAAUCCUGGAGCUCAACUCCAGAACUGCCUUCGAUACUGGCGAUCUUCGAGUUCGGGAGAGGUGAGUGGAACUGCGAGUGUAGAGGUGAAAUUCGUAGAUAUUCGCAAGAACACCAGUGGCGAAGGCGGCUCACUGGCCCGAUACUGACACUGAGGUGCGAAAGCGUGGGGAGCAAACAGGAUUAGAUACCCUUGUAGUCC